AGAGGGGGCUGGUCCUUGGGAGGGAAAACCGGGGGAAGGGGCGGGCCCUCGGGGGGGGAGUGACCGGAAGAGGGGGCGGGUCCUUAAGGAAAGACCGGAAGAGGGGCGGCCCUCGGGGAGGGGCCGGAAAAAGGCAGGCGGGCCUUCGAGGAGGGUCCGGAAGAAGAGGAGGAGGAAGGAGAUCCACUCUGCCAUAUUGUGCUUUGUGAUGACAGCACUGGAGACCUGUGAGCUACACGGUGCCUUUGCCUGCUGGCCAGCUUCCGCCACUCAGGGCCAUUGGAGGGAAACAAGAAGGCGGGAGGAGGGAGAAGGGACUUGCUCCUUCCUCUUUGCUUCCCGUUCUUACUACUGUCCGGAGCACUGGCUCCUCUCCCAGGCGGCAGCUGUUGGUUCCAGCCUCCAGCUUUCCUCGGGACCUCAGAACUGGAUUCAUCAUAUGCCUCGAGAGGAACUGAAGUUACCUGCAUAGAAGCUUCGCAGAUCGGUGUCCAAACAGUUCUCCAGGAAGCGCCUCAGAGACGCGCAUGGACUGAGGGCCACGGUGAUUGCUUCAGAACUGCUCUUUCUCUGAGGAGACUCGGAGGCCCCGCGACAAGGGUCUGGGGGCUCAUCUAGUCCAGCCUCCUACCUGGUGUGGACUCCCUUCAGUGGUGUCCCGGACAGACGGCCAUUGAGUCGCGACUCGACCAAUCUCGUACUGGGAAACUCGAUGUCCAGGGGCGCCCCGUUCCACUGCUGGGCAGCUUUGAGUAUGAGUCACUCCUGAUUCUGAAUAGAAGCCUGCGCUCCUGUCACUUUGACCUGCUGAUACCACCUCUGCCUGUUUUUAGAAUACGUCUUCCCAGGGACAGCGCUUUAGUUCCUGGAGCAGGAAUCGCGUUCCCUAGCGGGGAGGGGGGGGUUCAUCUGUUGGUAGCUACUCUGUGCCAAGCACCGUGCUGACAUUCUGUGUUUUCAGUUUUUGUUUUAAAGACCUUAUCUUAUUAAAAAAAAUUUUUUUUUUUUUUUACAUUUACUUGUUUUUGAGAGAGACAGAGAGACGAAGCAUGAGCAGGGGAGGGGCAGGCAGAGAGAGACGGACACACACACACACACACACCCACAGAAUCGGAAGCAGGCUCCAGGCUUUGAGCUGUCAGCACAGAGCCUGAUGCAGGCACUGAACCCAUGAACUGUGGGAUCAUGACCUGACCUGAAGUCGGAUGCUUAACUGACUGAGCCACUUGGGUGCCCCAAGACUUUGUUUAAAAAAAUUUUUUUUUAAUGUUUGUUUUUGAGAGAGAGACAAAGCGUGGGCAGGGGAGGGGCAGAGAGAGUGAGAGAGCAAGAGAGAGCGAGAGAUUGAGACAGACACAGAAUCUGAAACAGGCUCCAGGCUCUGAGCUGUCAGCACAGAGCCCGACACAGGGCUCGAACUCAUGAGCUGUGAGAUCACUGGCCUGAACCGAAGUCGGACGCUUAACCGACUGAGACACCCAAGCACCCCUAUUUAAUUUUAAGUAAUCUCUACGCUCAGUGUGGGGGCUUGAACUCACAACCUCAAGAUCAAGAGUCGGAUGCUCUACUGAGUGAGCCAGCCGGGUGCCCCACGUUCUGUGUUUUGUUUUUUUUUUUAAUCUCGUUUAUCUUCACACAAUUCUACUGUUAGCCCCACUUUACAAAUGAGGAAGCGGAGGCUCAGAGAGUGUAGGUAACGGUCCAAGGACACACAGCAAGGAAAAGGGCAGCCUGGGAACGCUGCCCGGCUUUUCCGCGCUUUUUAUGCUGCACGCCUGUGUUAAUCACGUCCAGCUCCUUUCCCUGCGCCCUCUGAGAGUCAGUCUCCAGGUCCCCUCCCCCUCCACGCUCAGCCUCCCUUGGAGACACAGAGCAAGACCGUGGCGCCUGGAGAUCACGACACUCCACGUGUGGCCUGCGCAGGUCACAGUACGCGCCAGAACCUGGGAACGUCGUUUCUCAUUCAUGGACCCUGUGCCUCGUUUGCUCUGUGGGCGGAGUCCCCAGUGCCCUCCCCGCCCCGUGUCCUCCUGUCAGCUGAAAGUGUUGUGUCAGGGCUUAGCGGUGACGAGGUAACGGGCAGCGGGGGCUGAGCGGUGUCGGGGGACAGCAGAGGCCUGGCUCACCGGUGGGGAGGUGCCUGUAGUAGUAGAUGACGGGGUGGAGGAAGUUGGACUGCCACGCGUCUUCCGUGUGCCCCACGGACCGGUCAUGAAAGAAGACGUCCUUGUCGGGCCCAGAGAAAUUUCUGCCAUACUCCAUGUUGAUGACGAAGAGCCCGUGCCUGGCCCUCUUUCCUGUGAUGGUCUCCAGCUGGGCCAGCAUCUGCACGGGGAGCUCCUCCAGCUGAACCCCGACUUACACAGGAGACAGAUUCCAGAAAACUCUGAGUAACCUGAAAGUAAAGGCCACCGGCCCCCAGAGAGUGCUGCGCAGAGACGAAUGUGUGUGACUCAGGUUUUAAGAGGACCGCCCGGCCGCUGUGUUGAAAGCAGACCACGGGCAGAGGUGCGAGGCUGUAGGUGGUUCAGGCUUCACUUAGGAGGGAACCACUGGGCCACUCCAUGCCAGGGACAGGCAGAGAAGAGCUCCGACCCGUGAAUGGUGGAGCUGGGCUACUCACUCCUUCAGCAGGACGACA